rnacentral:rRNA from 1 species
UACGUAGGUGACAAGCGUUGUCCGGAUUUAUUGGGCGUAAAGAGCUCGUAGGCGGCUUGUUGCGUCGACUGUGAAAACCCGCGGCUUAACUGCGGGCUUGCAGUUGAUACGGGCAGGCUAGAGUUCGGUAGGGGAGACUGGAAUUCCUGGUGUAGCGGUGAAAUGCGCAGAUAUCAGGAGGAACACCGGUGGCGAAGGCGGCAUCCUGGACCGACAUUGACGCUGAACGGCGAAAGCUAGGGGAGCAAACGGG